rnacentral:lncRNA from 1 species
AGCUGUUCCGUUGAAAGCUGGAGGUCUUGCUAAGGAUGCGCCUUCUCCCAGAAAAUCGUUUGAGGCCAUAGUGCUUUUAUGAGUGUUACCUCUCGAAAAGUUAGGCUCUGAGGCCAAUUGUUGGUAUUUAUGACCUCGCAAUAAUCGGAAUGUAUCAGUUUUUUAAGAAAUUAACUCAAUUUCAUACACACAGCGGAAUUUAAAUUGUGGCAUACAAGAUUAGCAA